CUAAUACAUGCAAGUCGAGCGGACAGAUGGGAGCUUGCUCCCUGAUGUUAGCGGCGGACGGGUGAGUAACACGUGGGUAACCUGCCUGUAAGACUGGGAUAACUCCGGGAAACCGGGGCUAAUACCGGAUGCUUGUUUGAACCGCAUGGUUCAGACAUAAAAGGUGGCUUCGGCUACCACUUACAGAUGGACCCGCGGCGCAUUAGCUAGUUGGUGAGGUAACGGCUCACCAAGGCGACGAUGCGUAGCCGACCUGAGAGGGUGAUCGGCCACACUGGGACUGAGACACGGCCCAGACUCCUACGGGAGGCAGCAGUAGGGAAUCUUCCGCAAUGGACGAAAGUCUGACGGAGCAACGCCGCGUGAGUGAUGAAGGUUUUCGGAUCGUAAAGCUCUGUUGUUAGGGAAGAACAAGUGCCGUUCAAAUAGGGCGGCACCUUGACGGUACCUAACCAGAAAGCCACGGCUAACUACGUGCCAGCAGCCGCGGUAAUACGUAGGUGGCAAGCGUUGUCCGGAAUUAUUGGGCGUAAAGGGCUCGCAGGCGGUUUCUUAAGUCUGAUGUGAAAGCCCCCGGCUCAACCGGGGAGGGUCAUUGGAAACUGGGGAACUUGAGUGCAGAAGAGGAGAGUGGAAUUCCACGUGUAGCGGUGAAAUGCGUAGAGAUGUGGAGGAACACCAGUGGCGAAGGCGACUCUCUGGUCUGUAACUGACGCUGAGGAGCGAA
rnacentral:rRNA from 1 species